rnacentral:misc_RNA from 1 species
ACCAUCGAGUUUUUGAACGCAAGUUGCGCCCGAAGCCAUUUGGCCGAGGGCACGUCUGCCUGGGCGUCACGCAUUGCAUCGCCUCUUUCAAAGCCUUUUUUCGUAUCAGGCUUGUUGUUUGAGGCGGAUAUUGGUCUCCCGUGCCGAUGGCGUGGCUGGCCUAAACGUAAGUCCUUAUCGGUGGAUGCAUGACUAGUGGUGGUUGACAAGACCUUCGUUUGUUGUCGUGUGCCGUUAAUCGUAAGGAAAAGCUUGUUAAAAUCCCCUAACGUGUCGUCUUGUGAUGACGCUUCGAUCGCGACCCCAGGUCAGGCGGGACUACCCGCUGAGUUUAA